rnacentral:rRNA from 1 species
UGCAUGUCUCAGUACCUGCCGACCUAAGGCGAAACCGCGAAUGGCUCAUUAAAUCAGUCAUGAUUCAUUGGAUGUUGUAACAUCCUUACUCGGAUAACUGUGGUAAUUCUAGAGCUAAUACGUGCAACAAAGCUCCGACCUCGUUCGUUUAAUUACGGACGGGGGAAGGGCGCAUUUAUUAGACCAAAAACCGGGUGGAUACAAGCGUUGAGGCGCCUUUAGGCGUCGCUUCGAAAAAUCCUCCAAUACGGUUAUGUGGUGACUCUGGAUAACUACCGCCGAGCGCUGAGGUCUUAGUACCGGCGCCGUAUCCUUCGAGUGUCUGCCUUAUCAGCUCUCGAUUGUAGGUUAUUCGCCUACAAUGGCUGUAACGGGUAACGGGGAAUCAGGGUUCGAUUCCGGAGAGGGAGCCUGAGAAACGGCUACCACAUCUAAGGAAGGCAGCAGGCACGCAAAUUACCCAAUCCCGGCACGGGGAGGUAGUGACGAAAAAUAACGAUGUGGGACUCUUCCGAGGCCUCACAAUCGGAAUGAGUCUAAUUUAAAAACUUGGACGAGGAUCCAUUGGAGGGCAAGUCUGGUGCCAGCAGCCGCGGUAAUUCCAGCUCCAAUAGCGUAUAUUAAAGUU